GAUGAACGCUGGCGGCGUGCCUAACACAUGCAAGUCGAGCGAAAACACGGGGAGCUUUCGCCCCUGACGUUAGCGGGGGACGGGUGAGUGACACGUGGAUAACAUACCUCUCCGACGGGGGUGAUAACGGGAGACCGGUGCUACUAACGGAGAAUAUAUCGUACUGGAUGGUUCAAUAGUUAAAGACGGUUUUGCUGUUACUUAUAGCCGGACUCGCGCCGGAUGAGCUAGUUGGUAAGGUAACGGCAUACCAAGGCGACGAUGCGUAGCCGAUCUGAGAGGGUGAUCAGCCACACUGGAACUGAGACACGGUCCAGACUCCUACGGGAGGCAGCAGUGGGGAAUCUUCCGCAAUGGGCGAAAGCCUGACCGAGCAACACCGCGUGAGUGAUGAAGGUCUUCGGAUCGUAAAGCUCUGUUGUUAGGAAAGAAAAAAAGCGGAUUUAACCAUGCACGUCAUGACGGUACCUAAAGAAUAAGCCCCGGCUAACUACGUG
rnacentral:rRNA from 1 species